CGUAGGGUGCAAGCGUUGUCCGGAAUUAUUGGGCGUAAAGAGCUCGUAGGCGGUCUGUUGCGUCGGGUGUGAAAACCCGGGGCUCAACUCCGGGCCUGCAGCCGAUACGGGCAGACUAGAGUUCGGCAGGGGAGACUGGAAUUCCUGGUGUAGCGGUGAAAUGCGCAGAUAUCAGGAGGAACACCGGUGGCGAAGGCGGGUCUCUGGGCCGAUACUGACGCUGAGGAGCGAAAGCGUGGGGAGCGAACAGGAUUAGAUACCCUGGUAGUCCAUGCCGUAAACGUUGGGCGCUAGGUGUGGGUUCCCUUCCACGGGAUCCGUGCCGCAGCUAACGCGUUAAGCGCCCCGCCUGGGGAGUACGGCCGCAAGGCUA
rnacentral:rRNA from 1 species